rnacentral:rRNA from 1 species
GGAGGGUGCAAACGUUGUUCGGAAUUAUUGGGCGUAAAGAGCGUGUAGGCGGUUCGUCAAGUCUGAUGUGAAAGCCCGGGGCUCAACCCCGGAAGUGCAUUGGAAACUGGCGAACUUGAGUACGGGAGAGGAAAGUGGAAUUUCGAGUGUAGGGGUGAAAUCCGUAGAUAUUCGAAGGAACACCAGUGGCGAAGGCGGCUUUCUGGACCGAUACUGACGCUGAGACGCGAAAGCGUGGGGAGCAAACAGGAUUAGAUACCCUGGGUAGUCCACGCCGUAAACGAUGGGUACUAGGUGUUGCGGGUAUUGACCCCCUGCAGUGCCAAAGCUAACGCAUUAAGUACCCCGCCUGGGGAGUACGGCCGCAAGGCUA